UACGUAGGGCGCAAGCGUUGUCCGGAAUUAUUGGGGCGUAACGAGCUCGUAGGUGGCUUGUCACGUCGGGUGUGAAAGCUUGGGGCUUAACUCCAGGUCUGCAUUCGAUACGGGCUGGCUAGAGGUAGGUAGGGGAGAACGGAAUUCCUGGUGUAGCGGUGAAAUGCGCAGAUAUCAGGAGGAACACCCGUGGCGAAGGCGGCUCUCUGGGACGGUACUGACGCUGAGACGCGAAAGCGUGGGGAGCGAACAGG
rnacentral:rRNA from 1 species